GAUUCUUCCCAGGGGAGUGCUUCUGAUGAAGGAAGCUUUUAGCUAACCUGAAAUUGCCAGUGUAUCAAAAAGCAGGCAUGAGCAUGGCCAGAAGUCACAAACACACUUGGGAGCUGGGGCAAGAUUCUCCCCAGUGCUGGCUCUCCCUAAAUGCCUGAAUUUGUUGACAUAAACACCAGAGGAAGGGGGACAGUGAUCUGAGAUGCCAGACACUGGAGAGACACGAAGGAAGAAAGCCUAUUUUUAAUCUAAUUUGCCAAGUCACAUAUCUCCAACUUUCAACUCUACGCAUCUCACAGAAUUCCCACUCCUCUCUUUUGUUUCCCAUUUACCACAGGUAACAGUUCACCAGGAACCUCAUAUCAUCAUAUUUUUGACUGUGUGUUUUUUUGAAUUAUGUAUUUAACCAGCAGGAUUACUUCCACAAAAAAUUGUAGAUGGCUGUUACGAUUCCCAACCACAGUUUGUCUUCAAGGAAAAAAACUGUAGCUGAAUGGAGUCUUAUUUAAUUUUUGAAAUUUUAAAAGACUACAGGGGCCUCUGCACAACGACCUUUCUACUACUCUGAACCUAAAGCCUAGGUUAUUAUUAAAAUAAGUAGCUAACUAGGACAUCAGUCUACGAAAACCCACCAACAAGUUACUUUCAAGAAACUAAAGAAAACAGGUGAAAUAGUCUUUGGCAGACUUGUAGCUUUUACAUAUUUUCACUGGAGUAGUCUGGAUUGCAGUGAACAUAUUUCUUCCCUGGUUUUAUGGCACUCAAUCCAGUCUCUCAUGAGUACAUUUAGGAAAUGAUAGAUAUUAAAUAAUUUCUUUCUGCCCAGUGGCAGGUCUAUCUUUAAUUCAGGUAUAAACACAACAUUUCCUCAAAAUCAUUCUUCUCCUGCAUUUAAAAAAAAAAAAAAAAAAUCAAAUGGAUCAAGCUAUACAAAAAGACCAUAAAAAAAUUAUUUAAAUACAUCUCUCUUGCCUAAGUGUCUUUCUUCUUUAGAGUGAUUUUCUUCUCAGCUUCCUGCAUUUUCUACCACCCUGUUACAUUUUAAGAAAGAAAUUACAGGCUUCAAGCUUCUCCUCUGUUACACCAUAAAAAAACUUUGGAAAAAUUGCGAUUUCAAAGUUAUUUCUUUUAAUUUUGUGUACAUUAUUUUAAAUGUAAAAUGAGUCUUUGGUGUUCCAUCACUUAAACUGAAAAAAUAUUUUGGCAAUGAAGAAUUUUGUACUUCACUAAUACACCAGCAGUGUUGAGAACAUGUCUCAAAAAGUAUGAACAGUACUUGUAAAGCUGUGUAACUCUCCUCAAAUGACACAACAGCAUUUUAUGUGGCUGAAAAUGAAACAGUAUGUAUGAGGUUGAUCCUGAAUACUAUUCCAACACCAUAUUUAAACAAACUCUGCUUGUUUGCAAUUUUCAUUACUUUAUGUGGUUUUUUAGUUCAGUUCUGUCAUAAAUGCACUUUGUAAAACAUUAAUCUUAAUCGUGUGCAACCAACUGAACAUUGUUGUAUCUUUCCUCAAGUUUUUAUGUAUCUCUGCAUUCCAGUCAACUGGCAACCCAAGUUAUAGUGUAAAGCCCCCAACCAACACUCUUGACUUCCACAGGGCCCAUAAUUCUUUCCAAGGCUUUUCACUUCAGAGACUCGUUUGAAGAAUACUGAAGACCAUUUUUAUACUUCACUCACAUGCAGAAAGAAGAAAUCUUUUUCUGAGCAAGGAAGCCUCUAAAACAAAUCAAAGAUGUGGACACCAAGCACAGAAGACUAAUUAACUUAAGGCAAGUAACCCAGGAAAAUUAAUGCUGAAUUCGGGGUAGUUCAAAGACUUCAAGGAUAAUAGUUUAAAAUGAAGUAUUUAUGGCCUUGAAUAGUUAAGACCUUGUGAAUUACUGUAUUCUAUUUAGAAGGCAUGAAACAUUAAAGGUGAGAGGAAUAGAAAUAAGUCUGUAUGUACAAAGCUAUGGGAAGGAGAAAGGAAGAGCUCUCACGCAAGGUUCCUCAAGAUCCUCGAAGUCUACUCAGGAGAUAGUGACCACCUCUACUGCACUAUGAACAGGGGCAUGGAUGCAGGGAGGUUGUUGAAGGAACAUGUGCAGGGGGUCCAGGCAUGCUGGAUUCCCCCUUAGGUGGUGUGUUUGGUGGAUGCUGCACUUGUGGCAGGGUCUUCAUGUCCCAUGUUUGUAAGCAGCGUCUUUAUAGUGUUGCUAAAUUCAGUGUUCACUACUCAGAAACAGAGAAGAAGGUUCUGAAUCACUGAUGUAAAGUGGUACUGUAAAGGAAAUGUGAUCCUAGAACACACCAGGAAGAUUUUUGCUGGAUAAAUAAAGUUUUAGUACCUCAGUAUAAGAUGCUUAUGUGACCCUGUCAGAAAUAAUAAUGAUCAGCUUUUAAAUGGGUGUUUCAGAAGGACAAAUUGAAACUUGGAACAUCUGUCCAAAAGGGCCAUUGAAAUGACAGGGCUACUUGUAUUGCAGAAGAAAGUCCAGAGUUUUCAGAGAGAGACAGGAAACUCUGAUAAGGUGUCGCUAGAAAACACCAAAGCAAAAAAGAGAUGUUGCUGCUGAAGGACAAAAGGGGUGGGUAUCCACAGGUUUUUAGUAGAUGUACCCAUGAAAGUAGAGGUUUUCUAGCAAAGUGGAACAGCUGCAAUGGAAGACUGUAAGAGGGACAAACAGAAUAGUUGGUAAGAAAAAGGGAGUAAAACAGCAGUUUGAACAUCCCUUUCCUCAGUGUUUGCUGUUUUGGGCUAUAUUUCUCAUUCUUUGAUUAAACUUUGAAAAUAUUGGAAA